GCCAGUGUGGCAUAGUGGUUUGAGUGUUGGACUAUGACUCUGGAGAUCAGGGUUCAGUUCCCUGCUCAAGCA